AUUGAACGCUGGCGGCAGGCCUAACACAUGCAAGUCGAACGAGUGGCGGACGGGUGAGUAAUGUCUUGCCACCUGCCUCAUCGACGGGGAUAACUACUGUAAACGGUAGCUAAUACCGCAUACCAUCGGAUGUGCCCACAUGGGAUUAGCUAGUAGGUGGGGUAAAGGCUCACCUAGGCGACGAUCCCUAGCCGGUCUGAGAGGAUGACCAGCCACACUGGAACUGAGACACGGUCCAGACUCCUACGGGAGGCAGCAGUGGGGAAUAUUGCACAAUGGGCGCAAGCCUGAUGCAGCCAUGCCGCGUGUAUGAAGAAGGCCUUCGGGUUGUAAAGUACUUUCAGCGGGGAGGCGUUACCCGCAGAAGAAGCACCGGCUAACUCCGUGCCAGCAGCCGCGGUAAUAC
rnacentral:rRNA from 1 species